UCCGGUUGAUCCUGCCAGAGGUCACUGCUAUCGGUGUUCGUCUAAGCCAUGCGAGUCAUAUGUUCUUCGUGAACAUGGCAUAUUGCUCAGUAACACGUGGAUAACCUGCCCUUGGGACCGGCAUAACCCCGGGAAACUGGGGAUAAUAUCGGAUACUCCGUAUCUGCUGGAAUGCUUUACGUUUUAAACGGUUUUUUUCCGCCCAAGGAUGGGUCUGCGGCCUAUCAGGUAGUAGCGGGUGUAAUGUACCUGCUAGCCUACGACGGGUACGGGUUGUGAGAGCAAGAGCCCGGAGAUGGAUUCUGAGACAAUAAUCCAGGCCCUACGGGGCGCAGCAGGCGCGAAAUCUUUACAAUGCGGGUCACCGUGAUAAGGGGACACCGAGUGCUAGCAAGAAUUGCUGGCUGUCCAGGUGCUUAACUUGCACCUGUUAGCAAGGGCCGGGCAAGACCGGUGCCAGCCGCCGCGGUAACACCGGCGGCCCGAGUGGUGAUCGUUAUUAUUGGGUCUAAAGGGUCCGUAGCCUGUUUGGUCAGUCUUCCGGGAAAUCUGCCAGCUUAACUGGUAGUCUAUCGGUGGAUACUGCCAGACUUGGAACCGGGUGAGGUAAGAGGUACUACAGGGGUGGGAGUGAAAUCUUGUAAUCCCUGUAGGACUACCUGUGGCGAAGGCGUCUUACCAGAACGGGUUCGGCGGUGAGGGACGAAAGCUGGGGGCACGAACCGGAUUAGAUACCCGGGUAGUCCCAGCUGUAAACUAUGCUCGCUAGGUGUCAGGCACGGUGCGACCGUGUUUGGUGCCGCAGGGAAGCCGUGAAGCGAGCCACCUGGGAAGUACGGCCGCAAGGCUGAAACUUAAAGGAAUUGGCGGGGGAGCACAACAACGGGUGGAGCCUGCGGUUUAAUUGGACUCAACGCCGGAAAACUCACCGGGGGCGACAGCAAUAUGUAGGUCAGGCUAAAGACCUUACCUGAAUCGCUGAGAGGAGGUGCAUGGCCGUCGCCAGUUCGUACUGUGAAGCAUCCUGUUAAGUCAGGUAACGAGCGAGAC
rnacentral:rRNA from 1 species